UGAGCAGAAACCGAACCAGACCGAAAAACCGAACCGAACCGAACCGAAAUUUGUUGUUUGGUUCGGUUUUUUGGUUAAAACGGUUUGGUUCGGUGUUAGAUAAAUAGAAGUUUGGAGUUUGGUGUUCGGUUCGGUUUGAGAUUGUCAAAAACCGAAAUAACCGAAAAACCGAUAACACCGAACCAGUUAAAAUAGUGUCAUUUUGAGGUAUAAGGCCACAUGUAUAAUGGGUCUGAUUUGGUUUAUUUCUAUCACAAAAAUACCCCUAAACUUGACAUAUAUAAUACUCCUUAUAACUUUGAAACCCUAAUUCUCUCAUUUUUCACUCUACUGCGCCGUUCUCUCCUCUAUUCUUAAUUUCUUAUUCUUCUUGUUUUACUUUCUCAUCAAAUUAAACCCUAUUUUCUAAUUGAUUUUAUCAAUUUCUUUUGCUAUUGUCUUUCAAAAUAACACCUAAUCACACAAUUUCCUUAACGAAUGAGCACUUUAAUUUGCUGGAAGGUCAUAUUUGUUGCUUCUGAAAUUUAUUAAUAUGCCUUCGAAAUCGAAAUUUGCUUGAAGUCCAGAUCUGAUCCUAAAGAAGAUGAAGUUGCUGGAAAUCCUCCUAUUUAUUAUUGCUUUAUUUGAAUGAGAUUUACUGAUUUUUUGUAUACAUUUAUUUUUUUUAAUUCUUUUGCUGAUAUUGUUAGCUGUAAUAUUUUUGAUUCAAAGUUGUAAUUUUAUUUCAUGUGGAUAUUUUAAUUGUAAAGAUCUUCAUCUCUUUAAAUAUGAAUUUGUUCUUUCUGUUU